AGUGAACGCUGGCGGUAGGCCUAACACAUGCAAGUCGAACGGCAGCACAGUAAGAGCUUGCUCUUACGGGUGGCGAGUGGCGGACGGGUGAGGAAUACAUCGGAAUCUACUUUUUCGUGGGGGAUAACGUAGGGAAACUUACGCUAAUACCGCAUACGAUCUACGGGUGAAAGCAGGGGAUCUUCGGACCUUGCGCGAUUGAAUGAGCCGAUGUCGGAUUAGCUAGUUGGCGGGGUAAAGGCCCACCAAGGCGACGAUCCGUAGCUGGUCUGAGAGGACGAUCAGCCACACUGGAACUGAGACACGGUCCAGACUCCUACGGGAGGCAGCAGUGGGGAAUAUUGGACAAUGGGCGCAAGCCUGAUCCAGCCAUACCGCGUGGGUGAAGAAGGCCUUCGGGUUGUAAAGCCCUUUUGUUGGGAAAGAAAAGCAGCAGGUUAAUACCCCGCUGUUCUGACGGUACCCAAAGAAUAAGCACCGGCUAACUUCGUG
rnacentral:rRNA from 1 species